rnacentral:rRNA from 1 species
AGAGUUUGAUCCUGGCUCAGGAUGAACGCUAGCUACAGGCUUAACACAUGCAAGUCGAGGGGCAUCAUGAUCAAAGCUUGCUUUGAUGAUGGCGACCGGCGCACGGGUGAGUAACGCGUAUCCAACCUUCCCCUUAGUAGGGCAUAGCCCGGCGAAAGUCGGAUUAAUACCCUAUGUUCUUCGUAGAGGCCAUCUGAAAUGAAGCAAAGGUUUACCGCUAAGGGAUGGGGAUGCGUCCGAUUAGGUUGUUGGCGGGGUAACGGCCCACCAAGCCCGCGAUCGGUAGGGGUUCUGAGAGGAAGGUCCCCCACACUGGUACUGAGACACGGACCAGACUCCUACGGGAGGCAGCAGUGAGGAAUAUUGGUCAAUGGGCGUAAGCCUGAACCAGCCAAAAGUAGCGUGCAGGACGACGGCCCUAUGGGUUGUAAACUGCUUUUAUGCGGGGAUAAAGUGACGUACGUGUACGUUUUUGUAGGUACCGCAUGAAUAAGGACCGGCUAAUUCCGUGCCAGCCGCCGC